rnacentral:misc_RNA from 1 species
GGUAGGCAUUGCCUGACCUGAGCUCUCUUAGUUUACGUCUACCUCGGAACACAUUUUCAGGAUGGGUCGAAGCGUAACCUUGCUUCUCCUCAUAGCGCUGACUCACAGCUCCUGGGCGGCCAAACUGGGUGCCCUCGAGCCCUCCUUCGCCGGCGCUCCAGACCCGAGCCUCAACGAAGUCUUAGGGGGAUAUCUGCCACCUGUGAAGGAGCCUGCAGGAGACGCAACAUGUG